rnacentral:rRNA from 1 species
UACGUAGGGGGCAAGCGUUGUCCGGAAUCAUUGGGCGUAAAGCGCGCGUAGGCGGCCAGAUUAGUCCGGUGUGAAAGUCAGAGGCUCAACCUUUGAAUGCCGCUGGAAACUGUCUGGCUUGAGUCCGGAAGGGGCGAGUGGAAUUCCUGGUGUAGCGGUGAAAUGACGCAGAUAUCAGGAGGAACACCAAUGGCGAAGGCAGCUCGCUGGAACGGUACUGACGCUGAGGCGCGAAAGCGUGGGGAGCAAACAGG